GGAUCCGAUUUAGCCAUGCUAGUCGCACGAGUUCAGACUCGUGGCGAAUAGCUCAGUAACACGUGGCCAAACUACCCUUCGGAACACAAUACCCUCGGGAAACUGAGGCUAAUAGUGUAUACCAUACCACCACUGGAAUGAGUGGUAUGCCAAACGCUCCGGCGCCGAAGGAUGUGGCUGCGGCCGAUUAGGUAGACGGUGGGGUAACGGCCCACCGUGCCAAUAAUCGGUAUGGGUCAUGAGAGUGAGAACCCAGAGACGGAAUCUGAGACAAGAUUCCGGGCCCUACGGGGCGCAGCAGGCGCGAAACCUUUACACUGCACGACAGUGCGAUAGGGGGAUCCCAAGUGCACAGGCAUAGCGCCUGUGCUUUUCGGUACCCUAAGGCGGUACCAGAAUAAGGGCUGGGCAAGACCGGUGCCAGCCGCCGCGGUAAUACCGGCAGCCCAAGUGAUGGCCGAUCUUAUUGGGCCUAAAGCGUCCGUAGCUGGCCGCGCAAGUCCAUCGGGAAAUCCACCUGCUCAACAGGUGGGCGCCCGGUAGAAACUGCGUGGCUUGGGACCGGAAGGCGCGACGGGUACGUCCGGGGUAGGAGUGAAAUCCCGUAAUCCUGGACGGACCGCCGAUGGCGAAAGCACGUCGCGAGAACGGAUCCGACAGUGAGGGACGAAAGCCAGGGUCUCGAACCGGAUUAGAUACCCGGGUAGUCCUGGCCGUAAACAAUGUCUGCUAGGUGUGGCUCCCACUACGAGUGGGUGCUGUGCCGUAGGGAAGCCGCUAAGCAGACCGCCUGGGAAGUACGUCCGCAAGGAUGAAACUUAAAGGAAUUGGCGGGGGAGCACUACAACCGGAGGAGCCUGCGGU
rnacentral:rRNA from 1 species